UACGUAGGGUGCAAGCGUUGUCCGGAAUUAUUGGGCGUAAAGCGUGCGCAGGUGGUUUGUUAAGUCUGCUGUGAAAGCCCCGGGCUCAACCUGGGAAUGGCAGUGGAGACUGGCAAGCUAGAGUGCGGUAGAGGAUAGUGGAAUUCCCGGUGUAGCGGUGAAAUGCGUAGAGAUCGGGAGGAACACCAGUGGCGAAGGCGGCUAUCUGGACCAGCACUGACACUCAGGCACGAAAGCGUGGGGAGCAAACAGG
rnacentral:rRNA from 1 species